CAUGCAAGUCGAACGGUGAAGAGGAGCUUGCUCCUUGGAUCAGUGGCGAACGGGUGAGUAACACGUGAGCAAUCUGCCCUUGACUCUGGGAUAACUGCGGGAAACUGUAGCUAAUACCGGAUAUUACCUUGGAAGGCAUCUUCUGGGGUGGAAAGAAUUUUGGUCAAGGAUGAGCUCGCGGCCUAUCAGCUAGUUGGUGAGGUAAUGGCUCACCAAGGCGACGACGGGUAGCCGGCCUGAGAGGGUGACCGGCCACACUGGGACUGAGACACGGCCCAGACUCCUACGGGAGGCAGCAGUGGGGAAUAUUGCACAAUGGGCGCAAGCCUGAUGCAGCAACGCCGCGUGAGGGACGACGGCCUUCGGGUUGUAAACCUCUUUUAGUAGGGAAGAAGCGACUGGGUUUUCCUGGAAGUGACGGUACCUGCAGAAAAAGCACCGGCUAACUACGUGCCAGCAGCCGCGGUAAUACGUAGGGUGCAAGCGUUGUCCGGAAUUAUUGGGCGUAAAGAGCUCGUAGGCGGUUUGUCGCGUCUGCUGCGAAAACCCGAGGCUCAACCUCGGGCGUGCAGUGGGUACGGGCAGACUAGAGUGCGGUAGGGGAGAUUGGAAUUCCUGGUGUAGCGGUGGAAUGCGCAGAUAUCAGGAGGAACACCAAUGGCGAAGGCAGAUCUCUGGGCCGUAACUGACGCUGAGGAGCGAAAGCAUGGGGAGCGAACAGGAUUAGAUACCCUGGUAGUCCAUGCCGUAAACGUUGGGAACUAGAUGUGGGGACCAUUCCACGGUCUCCGUGUCGCAGCUAACGCAUUAAGUUCCCCGCCUGGGGAGUACGGCCGCAAGGCUAAAACUCAAAGGAAUUGACGGGGGCCCGCACAGGCGGCGGAGCAUGCGGAUUAAUUCGAUGCAACGCGAAGAACCUUACCAAGGCUUGACAUAUACCGGAAACGGCCAGAAAUGGUCGCCCCGCAAGGUCGGUAUACAGGUGGUGCAUGGUUGUCGUCAGCUCGUGUC
rnacentral:rRNA from 1 species